UCAUGAGGAAGAUUUAGUAUUGCUAAUAUCGAUGUUAAUUGACGUUACUCAUACAAGAAGCACCGGCUAACUCCGUGCCAGCAGCCGCGGUAAUACGGAGGGUGCAAGCGUUAAUCGGAAUUACUGGGCGUAAAGCGUGCGUAGGUGGUUUAUCAAGUCAGAUGUGAAAUCCCUGAGCUUAACUUAGGAACUGCAUUUGAAACUGAUAGACUAGAGUUUCAUAGAGGGGGGUAGAAUUCCAGGUGUAGCGGUGAAAUGCGUAGAGAUCUGGAGGAAUACCAGUGGCGAAGGCGACCCCCUGGAUGAAAACUGACACUCAGGUACGAAAGCAUGGGGAGCAAACAGGAUUAGAUACCCUGGUAGUCCAUGCCGUAAACGAUGUCGAUUUGAAGGUUGUAAUCUUUUGAAUUGUGACUUUCGAAGCUAACGCGUUAAAUCGACCGCCUGGGGAGUACGACCGCAAGGUUAAAACUCAAAUGAAUUGACGGGGGCCCGCACAAGCGGUGGAGCAUGUGGUUUAAUUCGAUGCAACACGAAGAACCUUACCUACUCUUGACAUCCAAAGAACUAUUUAGAAAUAAAUAGGUGCCUUCGGGAACUUUGAGACAGGUGCUGCAUGGCUGUCGUCAGCUCGUGUUGUGAAAUGUUGGGUUAAGUCCCGCAACGAGCGCAACCCUUAUCCUUUGUUGCCAGCGAGUAAAGUCGGGAACUCAAAGGAGACUGCCGGUGAUAAGCCGGAGGAAGGUGA
rnacentral:rRNA from 1 species